AUUGAACGCUGGCGGCAGGCCUAACACAUGCAAGUCGAGCGGAUGAAGGGAGCUUGCUCCUGGAUUCAGCGGCGGACGGGUGAGUAAUGCCUAGGAAUCUGCCUGGUAGUGGGGGAUAACGUCCGGAAACGGGCGCUAAUACCGCAUACGUCCUGAGGGAGAAAGUGGGGGAUCUUCGGACCUCACGCUAUCAGAUGAGCCUAGGUCGGAUUAGCUAGUUGGUGGGGUAAAGGCCCACCAAGGCAACGAUCCGUAACUGGUCUGAGAGGAUGAUCAGUCACACUGGAACUGAGACACGGUCCAGACUCCUACGGGAGGCAGCAGUGGGGAAUAUUGGACAAUGGGCGAAAGCCUGAUCCAGCCAUGCCGCGUGUGUGAAGAAGGUCUUCGGAUUGUAAAGCACUUUAAGUUGGGAGGAAGGGCAGUAAGUUAAUACCUUGCUGUUUUGACGUUACCAACAGAAUAAGCACCGGCUAACUUCGUG
rnacentral:rRNA from 1 species